rnacentral:snRNA from 1 species
GGAUGUAAGGGUGAUCUAGCUAUGACAUUUGUCACCCCAUUGGUUGCCGGGGUGGAUUCAUGUCAUCUGGUUAGCUAGACGGGUGUCCCCUUCCUCAUCAUACUUACUGAAGCUUUGUUCUUUAUUGAAGAGGAUAGGGUGACUUUCCCUGAUAAAUAAGCAAUUAUUUGGUCAAGGUUAUACCUAUAUCUAUAUCCCUACUAGAACCUUCAAACAAGCUAAAAAGGAAACAUGAAUCCCAGAGUGGAAAGUCCCAGGCCUCCAGGCCUAUCACUGGGGUUUUACUAUUCACUCUAUGAGGGGUAAGUAGCAUUUGG